rnacentral:lncRNA from 1 species
CAAACUACCUCACAAAACCAGAAAACUCAACCUCCUAAAAAGCCUGAUAUUGCCACCGCUGCAACCCCUGGUGAUGAAUCUGAUGACUCUGACACGGAUUCCGAGUCUGAAUCCGACACCGACAGCCAAACUCCCAAGCCUAUUGCAACAAAACCUAUGGAAGAAGCUUCAAACACCAAAAAACCUAGAUCCAAACCAUUGGCUUCACCGAUUAAAGCUUCUUCAACUAAGCGGCCCAGCGACUCAGAGCAAGAACCCAAGGAUGUGAAACGGGCCAAGAAAAAAGCUGGGGAAGAAGUAACCGAGGUCGCUGUUGUUGAGGAGGUGAAGAAG